AAACUUUUUUUUUUUUUUUUUUUUUUCAUUGAAAGCCUUGAAAGAGGAUUAAUCAAUAUAAGAAUUGCGAGUCUGGACUGUCACACAGACACUGGACUGUCACACAGACACUGGACUGUCACACAGACACCUCUGAUGUCCCCUGUAUCCCUGUAUACUAUUCAAUGUGUGUGGUUAUACUUAGAUUUUGCCAAUGAAUCCUCAUUGAAUAUAAGAAAGUCUAUGCUCCUUAAUUUUAACGUUUUAAAGUUAGUGAGCGUAGACCUUUCCUAUAGCUUUGAAUGACAACACACAUUUUUCAUGUUGUUUGGCAACAAACAGUAUAGGUAAGUUUUUUUGUAUAAUUUUACAAUAUUGUAUUGUUGAAGUACAGAACAUUUAUUUGUUUGUUUUCCUCAUAGUGAGAUGGAACUUUAAACUGGUGGCUGUAGAGAGGAGGAGUGGAGGAGGAAGCUUCUAUCCAUGUUUGUCAUACAAAGUACAGGUCCAGGCUGGGUCAGGAGGGAGGCUGAGGUCCUGACGUGGGACUGCUGUGUGACUAACUCACAACAGUGAGAUGGAGAGGAGGAGUGGCGGAGGAGGCUUAUAUCCAUGUAUCUUCUAUCCAGGGACAGAAAUGAAAGGCUUGUGGCUGUAGCCACUGUGAAACGUGUCAGUGAUGUUCAUGCUUUAUCGGUGUGUCCGUCUUGUAAUUCAGCACUCAUAAACUCAGACUGUGUCAGAGUGACCCUGCACCCCAAUUCAGCCUUUAUUCCAAAACUGGUUGACGCCUGUACCUAAGUGUGGACACUUUUCAGCCUCCUUCCCACAUUUCUGCUGAGCAGCAGCAUUCACACAGGUUGUGCCCUGUGCGUGUGGCACAUGGCAUCCUUUACCAACACUGUAAUGCUACACAACACAGUGAACACAAGGCCCUUAUGGGAAACCUGAACAAUUUCCUUAAACACCAAAAUAUUCAGGAGCAGGACCACACCUCAACCUCCCCCUGCUCCUCUCCAGUGAGCCACAGCUCAGCUCAACCACACCUUCAGUUACCCUGAAGCAUUUUCUAUCCAGGCCUAUCCUGACAGCACAGUCUGUCUCUGCUCUCUCGACCCCUUCCCUCUCACCCCGUGUCUCUCGCUCAGCCUGUAGACCUCAUCGUCUACAAAGGAGGGGGGGUCCUGAAUCGUCUGGGCUGACCACCUGAGACAGAGCCCCCGAUCCUGACUCCCCUCCCCGCCAUCACACAUCUGUCCAUCGUCAAUAAAUAUCUUGAUCGUAUUCCAUUGUUGUGGUGUGGUCCUUGCCAGUGAAAUACUACUGUGUGGCUGAAAAUGAAGACUGUCUGUCUGAUAUUAAGACAUGUGCCAAGUUCCGCAACCUAAACGACCGCAACAAGCUGUUAAGAACUUUAGCAGUCAACAGCAUAAGCAAUGUUUACUGUUAUAUGUCGUGUUUGAAUAGCCCUUUAUUUAUUCUGACUAUUCAAUUAUUUCAGUUAUUCCACUUGUAUUUUGUUUAUUAGAAUUUUGGCUGAAGAUAAUAAAUCUAUUUGCAUUUCUACCACCAGAUGCCACCAAAAGAUAUUCAAACUCAAAUAAAUGUAAUAGCUGCAAGAUUUGUAUCAUAGGCCCACUGAUCCUGAAUCAGGAUCCUGAUAUCCUCGUCCACCACCUAAAGAUAAAGAUAAUAAAGAUAAUAAAGUUGUUCUCCUGAGUGCGGGGCAUCUCUCGGGUCUCAAGUUAAAGGACUAAGGUACUGUACUUAGGUAAGGUACAGAUACCCAAAAUGUAUACUUUUACAUUUUAAAGUGGAUACUCUUUUUUUCAAACUGUUGUGAAUGUCUGACCUGCUCAGUGUUAAAGAGUUGAUCGAAAAGGCAAAAAUGCCGGAGUUAAUGGGACAUGGUGAUGAAAAAGAAGAUCUUCAGAAAGAGCUGAAUGAUCUACGGAUUAGACUUAAAGGAAAAGAAGAAGCUAUGCAGCAGAUGAUAACUAAAAAUGACCCUACAACCCAGGCCAAAUAGGUGAGCCCGGACAAAGAGACAAGCUCACAUUUUCUAGUUUGGUCAGGCAGAUUGAAAGCAGACUCAUUAAAAGCUACCAAGAACACUAUCCUGACUGGGUUGCAGAAUGAUAAUAUCAAGAGUGACAUGCAGCCCUAUCUCCUCCAGGCAACUACAUCUGAUCAAGUGUUGUUAGAGAAAGUGAAAAUAGCAUGUGCACAUGAAAAAGAACGACCAGAUGAGAAGAAACGUGCUGUUCCUCAGCGAGCAACUACAGUUAACACAAUUCAGCCUAGUGACACACCAGCCCCUGCCGAGGUGAAGACGGUCCAAAAACAAAGCACUGCUGUUAUGCCACCAGAGCUCCUGUCUGAGAUUAAGGAGAUGUGCUCUGAGAUGGUGCUUUUAAAGGAGUUGAGAGCUGAGGUGUCCCAGAUCAUAGAGACUAUGCACAAGUCUACAGCUGCAGCACCCAUCUGAGGGGGGCCUGAGAACCAUCACCCAGCGCAGACCUUCACGCCACGCCCACCGUACCAGGAGCAACCCUUGCUGUACCGCUGUGAGAUAGUAUUUUGAUCCCAGGGUCAAAAUACUAUAUGGUAUGUUGACCCCAGGGUCACCUCACUGUGGGGUCAAAAUCCUAUACCACACUGGGAGCAUCACCCACCGUGCCAAGUGGAGCCAUCUGCCAGGACCUUCUACUCCCAGCGCACCCAAGCAGCUCUUCAGAUGUAUCACACUUCCUCAGGUUCAGGAACAGCGAGGGGGGGCACCAAAUUCCAGCAGAGCUUUGCCCCUCAGCGGUACCAUAUGUCACGCCCACCACCCAGGUGUUACUCUUGCUUUCACACAGGGGAAGAGUUCUGUCAGCACUGUUUUAGAUGUGGAAGUGGUGAGCAUUUUAGGGCAGGCUGUAAAGCACAGAGGCCAACAAGACAAGCCAGGGGUAGUACUUUAAACUAGCAGGGGUCACUCCAACGGGACAUGGUGUGACCAUAGAGACAGUCAGGUCCCAGUGUUACGGUUGUACUACUAAAAGUGAGAUUCACACCCAGUCAGUGUUAGAGCUCCUGAUUGACUGUUUAGUACAGCCUCCUGUUUUAGGUUUUCCUGACUUCUCACAACCAUUUAUCCUACAUACAGAUGCCUCUAGCCAGGGAUUAGGCGCUGUUUUGUAUCAAAGGCAAAAUGGCAAAAUCCGUGUGGUAGCUUAUGGAUCAAGAACACUCAGCAAGUUUCGUGAUUACUUGUACUAUGCACCCUUCUUUACAGUGUAUAGUGACAAUAACCUGUCGAAGUUUUCACUUUUUCAUUGGUUUAUUUAACAAUAACUGGCAACGUCACAAGGGGGCAGUACAACAAUAAUAACAACAUUGUAAAAUUACUGCAUGACAACAUUGACCUUAUAACAGUCCCACUUAAUUUUACAAUACCAUUUGUAUAAGAUUUUCCCUUUUGAAAAUAAAAUGAAAAAACAUAUUUACGCCUGACUAACAACUAGGCAUAAUAAACACUUAAUAAACUGAACACAGGCCAAUCUCUUCUCUGAGAUGCUCAAACUUUUGCUUAGGCAAGGGUUUUGUUAGAAUA